GUUUUUAUUACUCCAAAUAUUGUAAACUAGCUCUCACACAAAACUAAAAAAAAAAAAAAAAGAAAAAGCUUAACCAUUAAGUCAGCUAGAUGUUAUCUCCAAAGCAAUUUAAUUACUUACUGCUUCCUCAUCACUCCUCACUCCUUUAGCCCAGCAAAUUAAGCUACUGAAGAUUUCUGGAGUUUGACAAGUGAAUUUGAAGCCUUACUGAGAUUGUUUUGAAUAAGAAAAGUAAAAAAUAUGUUGAAUAAUAAUAAAAAUAAACCUGUCUCUCUGGCUGGUGAACUAGCUAACCUGCUGACAUUUAGAACAAAUUUAACCAACUUUCUGCUCUAUAAAGGGCCAAAGGUUUAUUUUUUCCCCUCACUCUGCAGUCUUCAAGCUUGAUCAAGGAAGAGACAAAACAUACAGAGCAAACUCUUUUUAGCAUAGGACACAUAUGUGGCUGAAAAAGCUCAGUAAUCUUUCUUGUUUAUUAACUCUGUAGUAGUUUGUACAUUUUCUACUUGCCCAUCUAUACACAGUAUUGGAGCAAAUGAUCACUACCUUAUUACCGCUGAAUGGUUGGCUCUAGACCAGUUGUCAAUAUUUUUUUUUUUUUUCCUGUCUUUCUUUUAGUGGAUUGCUGCUGAGGCAAUUUACUUGUAGCUGAAAAGCCGAGAACAACUAAUGCAUCACUUAGCAGAUUUUUUAAAUCUCUCUUCAAACAUCAAUCACUCUUCCACCACCAAACCUCAAUGAAUAAUCUACUCUCUCUGGCAACAAGCUGUCACCCCGCUUACAUCAUUAACCUGUAUGAUUAUACCCAAUUUUAGAUGAGGAAACAAAAGCACAGAGAAAUUAAGGGUCCAAUUAUUUAAAUUUACGAUCAUUGUGCCAUUGGCAAUUGAGAGUCUUGACUGUGUUUUUUGCCUGUUCUCUGCUCCUUGUUGACUUCUGUAUUCUGUUUUCUGUUACUAAAUUUUCUAGGUCCAGCAAUCUGCCUUUGCCACCACUUUCAGAUUCAGAGGCUUCAGAGGCUCCCAUCAUCAAGUGAGGGCAUGCCACACAGAAAUGAAGACAGAUCCUGGCUGGAGAGCAAGUGCCUAUCACACAGAAGGGGAGUCUCUGUCAUUACAGUGUGUAGAACUGAGACAACUCCAACAAAGACAGUGUUUACUCAGACAAUUGCACUCUGUCCACCUAAAUCAUGGUCACAGUGUCUAAAGUUGAGCCACGCCAUUUCACUGUACAUUAACGAUCAGCCAGGAAAACAUAUGUGGCCCGCACAUCUGUCUCGGCUUCAGGCAGCCUCCUCGGGCAGCGUACUUCAAUUGCCAGCAAUCAUCUAAGUGCUCCUAGAGACCCCUACGUGGGGAGACACACAAGCAUCGUGCUAACUAGCCAGAUAAUGAUUUCUGUUUGACUGAUGAGGAAGCUCAGAUACGAGGAUGUCGGGAAUCCACAUUUUCAAAAGCAUCUUCUAACUGCAAGCACCUCAAACAUCGAGCGUCCAACCUAGAGCAACUGGUUUAUCCUUAUUUAUAGGGCGAGAGCUGAGCAUCGCUGUCUCUGUCUGAAGUCAACGGUGGCUGCAGGCUAUCAGCACCUUUCAAAAGCUAAGCUGGGUCAACAAAUCUCACAGGGUUUAUUUGAGGUCACGCAGAAGGGCUGCAAGUGCCCCAGCACAAACUGUUUGUACUUAUCUAGGCAGUGAUGCAGCUGAAGCAUCCAGAGAAGGCUACGAGGAUACAGAGCAGAGAGGAAAAGAAGGUCAUCUCUGAACUUCUCCAAGCCCUUCUGGGGCCUCAAAGGAAAUAUCUUGACUUCUCCCGACUUUCCUUCCCCUUCCUCAUCCCACCUCUAUUCUUAGCAGCUUUGUCUGAGAGCUGGGAACAGAGCACGGUUUCUUAAUUCCUCACCUCCUCUUACCUCAUGUUUUGACUCAGAUGGCUCAGGGUGGUGGCAGGGGUUUUAACCUUGCAUGGAGCUGUUGUUUUUGUUUACACAAAAACCACGUUUCCAUUAAGUAGGAUUUCCUCAGCUACCGGGACAUGCCACAGGCAUGAGAUCAGCCUGUUUUGGUACCACCAAUUUAGUUCCUCCAAACAACAUUACACCAUCCUGAAAACACUCUGCCUCCCCAGACCCUAAGCUCUGUGCUCAUGGGUGAGCUCCCCGUGCCAGUUACCUGCUGUCAUGCUCCACAAACCCUGCUCUUGGCACGACUGAAGAAAACGACACCAGAACAGAACCACCUUUUCCUCCCAGCCACAAUCAGCACGACCGCUUAAUUACAUUUUCGGCUGAAACUGGCCCAACAAGUAGGGUAGCUUGCAGGGCUGCUGGACAGGGAAGCUGCACCUGCAUUGCCGCCAGCAAGCAGUACAAGACACCCCGUCCACAGCUCUCUUCUCGGGGGUGACUUCCCCCAAAAAGAAGCGAAAACACUGUCGCUCCCCUUCCUUAGUCCCAUUAAUAUCUACUCUAUCUACCCCAUCUAAUCACUGUGACAUCUGAGUGCCUUUGUGUGUCAGCUUCCUGCGAAGUAAUCACCUAAAUCCCCCUCUGAAACAAAGCAGACCCUGCUGAGGAACUCACAAUAGGUGCCUUUCACACGCACCACAACCUUGGCCUCCGUGGCACUUACAACAAAGCAUCCAUAUGUGCACCAGCACGGGCUGAUCAGUCGGAUCAACACCACGCAGGAUCAGAGCCUGGAUACUUGUGCCCGCGAAGCAAAAGAGCCUUACAAAAUUUCCCAUCUUCCUGACAAACCAUUUUUUUCUCUAAUGCUACAGCACAUUAGUCCGGCACAGCCUUUAUCCACCUUUGUGGGCCCGUUUGAGGAGAUAAAAGAGAAGCGCCAGCUCUGAAGGGCAAUGUCUGCUGGCCGGCCCCACUCUCAGAGAGCGCCUAGCCAUUGUUUGCUCUUUAACCCCAGGCUAGUACUACUUUUUAAUUUUUCCUUUGGCAGAUAUCCCGUUUUUUUUUUCUCCCCGGGGGGUGGAUCAAGGAUGGUAAGUUCUGUUCUAAUUGAAGCCAAGUCAAUGAUAACCUUUGGGCAUCUGCAGUGAAAAGGUAUUUCUGCAGUCCUGGCUGGGACUAGAUGCAUAAUGGAUCAAUGCGAGAUCCCACCGUUUGACUACUAUAGCAUCCUUCAUUAGUGUUAAGAUUUCAACCCGAAUCAACAAUUGAGUUAGAAGAUUGAAAGAAUUACCUUCAGUAUUUGAAACAGAAUAAUUGUAACAGGCCAGUAAAAGUCCCCUGAGGUGUCUCUCUCUCCCUAUACAUAUAUAUAGAUCAUUUUUGCUGAACAUUUAAAAUUAGAUGAAAGUUGCCAAGCUUCUACAUAUGAAGCAGAAAAAAGCUGAGCUGCUUCUCAAAAGUGAGAGGGAAAAAAUGUAUUUUUGGUUUGCCUAUCAAAGCACUUCGGGAGCAUUCUUGACUGUAGAAUCCAGGCACUAACUUGCUGCUCAGUCACUUCCAAUCUCUCUCAUACAUAACAAUGCCAAAAGAGCUAAUAAUAAACAUCACGCCCCCUCCUUAAACACAAACACGCAAACACACACAGACACACACACAUACACACACUUAGGAACCACUUGUAAAUGAGCAACACUGAUCCCAUCUACUUUUGUUGUUACAAAACUAGGGCAAGCUCUCUCAAUUAACUGCUUGGUGCACAGAGCCCUAAAAAAAUUAACUACCCAGAGGACUUAGACACCAAAUUUUAACUCUCAGUUCUUUAUCAGCCUUUCAUUUCUUGAUCAAAGACCCCUCCACUCACUACUAAUUUGCUAAGAAAUUAAACAUGAAAAGAGAAAGCAGUUCCACUACUGGGUGAAGAACAUUGUGGGCAGUUAAUGAUUAAUUAGCAUUACAAUAUGAGACAGCCUGAUUUCACAGUAGAAGCUUGUUUUGAUAGCUUUUUUUUUUUUUCUAGUAGAGGAACUCUUCAGGCUGGUGCAAAGGAUAUGUAAAACAUCAGUGCCAAAAACUUUCCUCUGUGUUUCUGAAAGGCAGUGAUUAGAGGUUACUAUAAAAUGCGUUGUGGACGAUCUUAAUGUGGAUGAUCUUAAGCCAAGUCCCAUGUCCCAGAGCCCAAGUGGUGCAACAGAGCUAUGGGGGGUGGCUGCACAGUGCUGCUCCCUGGGGGCGAGGUGGCAGCAUACACUGCUUAGGUGCUCGCCACCACCCAAAUGUACGCCACUCAUGUUGCCCCUUCAGUAGGCAGACACAAAACCCAAGGCCAGGUAACUUGGGCACAUAUCCAUCUCAGCACAGCUGCAGGCUGACGUGCAUGAAGUUGUCUGACUUACUGGGUGGUCAAGGAAAAGGUGGAACUCCUGAACCAUUUGAACCACUUUUCCUGCAACUGUUUAUUAGUUGUUUAAACUUAAAUUUAGAAAGAUCAACGUAGCUUUUCCUGUUGGCUUGAACUAAAAGAAAACAAUAAAACAACAUCCAGACUUUUGUAAAGUAGCUACCUAUACAACUAGUGGUGGCAAAACACAUGUCAAGCCAGAAUCUUACAGCAGAUACUGGCGGAAAGAAGAACGAUCAUAAAUAACUAUGGGAGAAACACAAAUAGCUUUCUAUAGCAGACCACGAUCAGCACAUAAUAAGCACAGAAAGCCAUUACAGUAAGGGGAUUAUGUAAAUUAUGAAAAAAGACAUUAUUUAAAUUUCUCUAUCUCAUUCCUUGUCUAUGUUUAUUACUGAGUUCAGUUUUGAAAUCACAGACAGUUUCCAGUGAGAGGUCCUUAAAUCAUUCAUUAACCAUAAAUUUAAAAAAAAAAAAAAAAGCAGUCAAGAAGCAAUGUAGUCAAACCAAAUCCUGCCUGUUGCUCUGAGAUUUCUGCUAUUACUGUUCAAACUU